AUAUAAACUAGUUGGGGCAUUUAUAGAAAAUCAUAAAUGAAAAUAAAACAAAAAUCCUAAAUCAUGCCUACUAAAAACUUAUUCAAAUUCCUAUAAACAUAGCAUGUAGUUGUAAGAAGCAUGUUUCGUGAUAUAUUUAUGCUGCAAUUUUUGCAUGUUUUAAAUUAAACAUGCAUCAUUUUUACAGAUUUCAGUCCGCCAUAUGUUUUAGAUUGUUACACUGCACAAUAUUGUUUCCACUUAAUUAGGCAGCCUUACUUUGUUCCUAUUCAUAGGGAACCCCCAUUUUAUCACUAUUAUAAAUAUCCACUAACCUUACAACAUCAUCCUUCUUUAGUAAUUAAUCGUACCAAUUUAUAUAAGAUAUUUGCUCAAGAUAUCCCUCGUCAUAUUGCACAUUUGCCCAAGAUAUCCACCAAGAAAAUGCACACGGUGUAGGUUUGCCAGCGACACAUCGUCAUCCAUCCAUUACAAUGCCUGAUGUCUCCUUGCAACAACCAGGACGAGCAGAAAAGAAUGCAUUCACUAAAAUGACAAAUUUUAUAACAUAUUUAGCUUCAAAAUCCCUAUGCUUUAUGCACUCAUCUCUCUACUAAAUUAUUUAAACUAAAUUUCACAAAACAUUAAUUUAAGGUAUAAUUCAAUAUUUUAUCCCAGAACAAACAUCAAACGCAAAGCAACUUGCAACGGCAAGAUAUAGAGCUGCAACAUGCCCUAAACUUGAAUAUAAUUUACUCUCUGGGAUGCCAAUUUCUGUCUUAGCAUAAAAAUACAGACUUCUGAUUGGUGUGGG